UUGCUCGGCCACGCUCCUUAUAGCAUCAUUCUCUCUCUCACACACAUCCACACAGAGAGACCCACUUCUAUCGUCUCCUUUGAUCUGCUACCACACUCCAUUUUUCUGAACUCGAAAGAUGAGAUUUGGAAAAAUCUGCGGAUUUAUCGACCCACUCAUUCGCCGAAGCGUUGUGAAUCGUACAGCCUCCGAUUUUAAGGAGUGUAUAAUUUGUUAACUAACAAGACAAAAAAUAUUAAAGAAGGGUGUGAAGAAGAGAAGAGUUGAGGACAACAGGAAAUUCAAUCUUUAUUCAUAUAAUGAGGUU